GGGUUGUGAGGUUAAGCGACUAAGCGUACACGGUGGAUGCCCUGGCAGUCAGAGGCGAUGAAGGGCGUGCUAAUCUGCGAUAAGCGCCGGUAAGGUGAUAUGAACCGUUAUAACCGGCGAUACCCGAAUGGGGAAACCCAGUGUGAUUCGUCACACUAUCAUUAACUGAAUCCAUAGGUUAAUGAGGCGAACCGGGGGAACUGAAACAUCUAAGUACCCCGAGGAAAAGAAAUCAACCGAGAUUCCCCCAGUAGCGGCGAGCGAACGGGGAGGAGCCCAGAGCCUGAAUCAGCAUGUGUGUUAGUGGAAGCGUCUGGAAAGGCGCGCGAUACAGGGUGACAGCCCCGUACACAAAAGCGCAUGUGCUGUGAGCUCGAUGAGUAGGGCGGGACACGUGGUAUCCUGUCUGAAUAUGGGGGGACCAUCCUCCAAGGCUAAAUACUCCUGACUGACCGAUAGUGAACCAGUACCGUGAGGGAAAGGCGAAAAGAACCCCGGCGAGGGGAGUGAAAAAGAACCUGAAACCGUGUACGUACAAGCAGUGGGAGCACAGGUUUACCUGUGUGACUGCGUACCUUUUGUAUAAUGGGUCAGCGACUUAUAUUCUGUAGCAAGGUUAACCGUAUAGGGGAGCCGCAGGGAAACCGAGUCUUAAUUGGGCGUUAAGUUGCAGGGUAUAGACCCGAAACCCGGUGAUCUAGCCAUGGGCAGGUUGAAGGUUGGGUAACACUAACUGGAGGACCGAACCGACUAAUGUUGAAAAAUUAGCGGAUGACCUGUGGCUGGGGGUGAAAGGCCAAUCAAACCGGGAGAUAGCUGGUUCUCCCCGAAAGCUAUUUAGGUAGCGCCUCGUGAAUUCAUCUCCGGGGGUAGAGCACUGUUUCGGCUAGGGGGCCAUCCCGGCUUACCAACCCGAUGCAAACUGCGAAUACCGGAGAAUGUUAUCACGGGAGACACACGGCGGGUGCUAACGUCCGUCGUGAAGAGGGAAACAACCCAGACCGCCAGCUAAGGUCCCAAAGUCAUGGUUAAGUGGGAAACGAUGUGGGAAGGCCCAGACAGCCAGGAUGUUGGCUUAGAAGCAGCCAUCAUUUAAAGAAAGCGUAAUAGCUCACUGGUCGAGUCGGCCUGCGCGGAAGAUGUAACGGGGCUAAACCAUGCACCGAAGCUGCGGCAGCGA
rnacentral:rRNA from 1 species